AGUGAACGCUGGCGGUAGGCCUAACACAUGCAAGUCGAACGGCAGCACAGUAAGAGCUUGCUCUUACGGGUGGCGAGUGGCGGACGGGUGAGGAAUACAUCGGAAUCUACUUUUUCGUGGGGGAUAACGUAGGGAAACUUACGCUCAUACCGCAUACGACCUACGGGUGAAAGCAGGGGAUCUUCGGACCUUGCGCGAUUGAAUGAGCCGAUGUCGGAUUAGCUAGUUGGCGGGGUAAAGGCCCACCAAGGCGACGAUCCGUAGCUGGUCUGAGAGGAUGAUCAGCCACACUGGAACUGAGACACGGUCCAGACUCCUACGGGAGGCAGCAGUGGGGAAUAUUGGACAAUGGGCGCAAGCCUGAUCCAGCCAUACCGCGUGGGUGAAGAAGGCCUUCGGGUUGUAAAGCCCUUUUGUUGGGAAAGAAAAGCAGCAGGUUAAUACCCCGCGGUUCUGACGGUACCCAAAGAAUAAGCACCGGCUAACUUCGUG
rnacentral:rRNA from 1 species